rnacentral:lncRNA from 1 species
CUGUGGGAGGAUCCCGUGACGGCCCCUCGGGCCAGUGUGCUCGUCUUCCCUUCCUGAUGGAAAGUUGGCGCUGGGCCUGUCACGUGACUGCACCAACCGAACCUCGGUUGCUGUGGCCCCCGCCCCCGUAACCACGGGGACCACCCGGUGUCUUUCCAGACUUUUUCCACUUUCAGAGAGAUGUGGUCACUUCAACAUCCCGGUGCGUGACCGGCUUCUUUCCCUCAAGCACCGGUGGCGCUGUCCCAUCACGCGAGGUCCAUUUGGUCCUUUGGCAGCAGCUUCUGACAGGACACUUUGGUCUGCAGCAGCCAGUAGCCCAGCUUCCACUCCGGGGAAAGAGCGUCUCUCCGGCACCAUCAGGGGCAGCCUUGACCUGGCAGGUCAGGGAGGCCAGUGGGAGCCUGACGCAUCCACCCAAACGCACCCCCUGGCUGUGCACCCAUCUGUCGUCCCCCAGCCCGUCCUCUCCUCUCAGGGGGCGGGCACCACUCUGCACACUGACCCCCUUCCCUUGCUCACCCUUCAUCCAUCCUUCACGCUUUUUAUUUUAUUUUUUGUCUUUUGUUAUUUUCAGGGCUGCACCUGCAGCAUAUGGAGGUUCCCAGGCUAGGCGUUGAAUCAGAGCUGUAGCUGCCCGGCCACAGCCAUGCCAGAUCCAAUUCGCAUGUGCGACCUACGCCACAGCUCACGGCAAUGCCGGGUCCUGAACCCACGGAGCAAGGCCGGGGAUCGAACCCGCAACCUCAUGGUUCCUGGUUGGAUUCGCUUCCGCUGUGCCACGACGGGAACUCCCACUCUUUCCAUCCUCUCGUCCAGCCACCCACAUCAGUUAUUCGUGUGUAGCCAACAACCUCAACGCUUAGUGGCUUUGAAAAGUAAGGAACAGGCGCGGGGGAGCAAGCAAGAGUUUAAAGAAUGGUGGAGACACGUCCAAGAAGACAGGAGCCAGCUCCCCACUGACCAACUUGUAGGCAAGCUGAUCAUCAAACAGACAGUGACAGUAAAAGCUUAUAAUCUACGGGGCAAAGUAAGAGGCCCUGAGUCCAAAGCAAUGGGGAAAAAAAUGAAUCCACGGAGAAGAUGCAGCAGCUCUCGCGAGAAUGCCAGCUCAGCGAGCACCUCGGGCCAGGUUCCCGGGAAUUGCAUCAACAGCCUUGUUGAGGCAGGACUCAGAACCCAUCAAGUUCCCCCUUUGAAAGCGGCUUUUCGCGCCUUCGCAGCUUUAUAUCCGUCUCAACGCGCAAGUUCCAGAACCUUCCCACCCCCAAGGAAACCCCGGGCCCUCGAGCAGCCUCCCCGUUUCCCCCUCUCCCGGCCUGGGGAGCCACUCUGCUGCCCCUGCCUCUGUGGAUGCCCACGCGGGACGUUGGCAGAAGUGGAAUCACACACUCCGGGGCCUUCUGUGUCGCCUCCUCUCGCCGAGCAUCGGGCAUCGUGCAUUCAAGGUCCGUCCACGCGGGGGCUGAGUCCGCGCUUCCCUCCAUCCUGCGGCCAGAAGCAUUUCCCAGGGGGCGCACACGCCGCGUUUUGUCUCAUGUCUGUCCCUUGAGGGGCGGGCACUUGCUUCUGCCCCUGGCUGUUGUGGGGAUGCUGCUGGGAUGUGCGUGCGCAGGGACUUGUCUCAGCACCAGGCUGUCUUUCUCCCGGGUGGGCUGCGGGGCUGCGGUAACUGUAAAUGCUCGGGGAACAGCCGCACUGUCCCACGGCGUCCCCGCCAGCUCCAAGGUGUGGCCAGUGCUUCCUACCAUCGGUCCCUGGGGGACGAAGUGUUGAGCUGUCUGCUCUCGGUGCUCUGUCAGAAAUUCCCGAGCCCCUGUUCUGAGCCUGCCCAGAGAACCCCCCUGUCCUGGGGAAGCCCAGCCCUGGAGUCCUGGAGUUCCCCCGUGGGCAGGGGCUGCACAGGGAGGGAGAGGAGAAAGAUACUGCAGGGUGGGGCCCUCUGCACGCCAGGCUCUCG